ensembl:misc_RNA Metazoa_SRP Metazoan signal recognition particle RNA
GCCAGGUGUGGUGGUGCACACCUGUAAUCCCAGCUACUCAGGAGGCUGAGGCAGGAGAAUCACUUGAACCCGGGAGAUGGAGGUUGCAGUGAGCUGAGAUUGCACCACUGCACUCCAGCCUGGGUGAUGAAGUGAGAUUCUGUCUCAA